UGUCUAUGAGCUUAGCCGAGUCUAUCGACAAAGUAUGUUAUUCGGAACGUUCUUAAGACUUUCUAAACUCCUAGUGUGUUUUUAAGUAUUCACAAUGAUAUUUGACUUGACAAUAAACUUAUUAUAAAAAUAUAAAAGCCUUUUUUUACAACUCGCACAAGUUCCACAGCUUCUGCUUUAUCUGAAGAACCUGACUCGGAUGCCCAAGUAAGCUCGGCAUGUGAGUGGCAAUUUUUAGUGCAGCUCUAUAAAAAGAGAAACCCUGAAUUCUUUAAACGUUAUGAGUCUAAAAUACUUAGAUUUUCAAGCGUCGAAAACUUUUUUAGGUUUUAAAUUUCCAGUACUUCUUUUUUAUUUUUAAUUGCUACUUAUGUUCGGAGAUCUAGUUCCUCAUAGUGUUUUUCUUAAUUUUUUAACUUUCUUUUUCUAAAAAAACGCCUGAAUUCUUGGAGAUUUGACUAUCCUGAGGAGGAGAACUCGCCUUUUUCUUUUAAAAGAAGUGUUUCUCAGCACACAUUUACUAUUUUUAACUUGCCUAAAAAAAUGAGAAACAAAUUCAAGAACGCUAAUGGCGAGGUUCAUAAAGAAAAGAAACUUACUGAUAUUCGUUUAGUUAAGAAGUUGCAUCGGCCAAAGUUUGGUAUUUUAUUAAUUUUUCAGAAAAACAAAGAGUAUGUCCUUAGACUUUCUAGCGACUGCGAACAACGCAAGUUGCUAAGGCAGCUCCAGAAAUCACGGAUUUAUUGCAUUGAAAAAAAGGAAGCUAGAAAAGAAAAAAAAAGGGAAGAAGAAGAAGAAAAAUUGGACCACGUGCUGCUGACCUCUGCAACUUAAAAGCUUAUAUUAAUUGAAUUGAGUUGUAAAAAGUAAGGUUAACAAUUAAGAGAUAUUUAGCGGAAUUUGAGUAAGAAAUUAUCAA